rnacentral:rRNA from 1 species
UACGUAGGCAGCAAGCGUUGUUCGGAAUUACUGGGCGUAAAGAGUGUGUAGGCGGUGCUCUAAGUCUGUUGUGAAAUCUCCCGGCUUAACUGGGAGGGUGCGGCGGAGACUGGAGUGCUAGAGUGUGGGAGAGGUAAGCGGAAUUCCUGGUGUAGCGGUGGAAUGCGCAGAUAUCAGGAGGAACACCAAUAGCGAAGGCAGCUCGCUGGGACGGUACUGACGCUAAGGCGCGAAAGCGUGGGGAGCGAACAGG